UACGUAGGGUGCAAGCGUUAAUCGGAAUUACUGGGCGUAAGCGUGCGCAGGCGGUGAUGUAGACAGAUGUGAAAUCCCCGGGCUCAACCUGGGAACUGCAUUUGUGACUGCAUCGCUGGAGUGCGGCAGAGGGGAUGGAAUUCCGCGUGUAGCAGUGAAAUGCGUAGAUAUGCGGAGGAACACCGAUGGCGAAGGCAAUCCCCUGGGCCUGCACUGACGCUCAUGCACGAAAGCGUGGGAGCAACAGG
rnacentral:rRNA from 1 species